GUGAGGAAUAUUGCGCAAUGGAGGCAACUCUGACGCAGCCAUGCCGCGUGCAGGAAGAAGGCGCUACGCGUUGUAAACUGCUUUUAACCGGGAAGAAACCCCAGGACGUGUCCUGGGUUGACGGUACCGGAGGAAUAAGCACCGGCUAACUUCGUGCCAGCAGCCGCGGUAAUACGAAGGGUGCAAGCGUUAUCCGGAUUCAUUGGGUUUAAAGGGUGCGUAGGCGGAGCGUUAAGUCAGUGGUGAAAUCCUGCAGCUUAACUGUAGACUUGCAAUUGAUACUGGCGCUCUUGAGUGCGCUUGAAGUGGGCGGAAUGUGCCGUGUAGCGGUGAAAUGCUUAGAUAUGGCACAGAACACCAAUUGCGAAGGCAGCUCACUAAGGCGAUACUGACGCUGAGGCACGAAAGCGUGGGGAUCGAACAGGAUUAGAUACCCUUGUAGUCC
rnacentral:rRNA from 1 species